GGUGAACGCUGGCGGUAGGCCUAACACAUGCAAGUCGAACGGCAGCACAGUAAGAGCUUGCUCUUACGGGUGGCGAGUGGCGGACGGGUGAGGAAUACAUCGGAAUCUACUUUUUCGUGGGGGAUAACGUAGGGAAACUUACGCUAAUACCGCAUACGACCUACGGGUGAAAGCAGGGGAUCUUGGGACCUUGCGCGAUUGAAUGAGCCGAUGUCGGAUUAUCUAGUUGGCGGGGUAAAGGCCCACCAAGGCGACGAUCCGUAGCUGGUCUGAGAGGAUGAUCAGCCACACUGGAACUGAGACACGGUCCAGACUCCUACGGGAGGCAGCAGUGGGGAAUAUUGGACAAUGGGCGCAAGCCUGAUCCAGCCAUACCGCGUGGGUGAAGAAGGCCUUCGGGUUGUAAAGCCCUUUUGUUGGGAAAGAAAAGCAGCAGGUUAAUACCCCGCUGUUCUGACGGUACCCAAAGAAUAAGCACCGGCUAACUUCGUG
rnacentral:rRNA from 1 species